UAGCUCAGUUGGUUAGAGCACCACCUUGACAUGGUGGGGGUCGAUGGUUCGAGUCCA
rnacentral:tRNA from 1 species